rnacentral:rRNA from 1 species
CCUACGGGUGGCAGCAGUGAGGAAUAUUGGUCAAUGGACGCAAGUCUGAACCAGCCAUGUCGCGUGCAGGAAGACGGCUCUAUGAGUUGUAAACUGCUUUUGUACGAGGGUAAACGCAGAUACGCGUAUCUGUCUGAAAGUAUCGUACGAAUAAGGAUCGGCUAACUCCGUGCCAGCCGCCGCGGUAAUCCGGAGGAUUCAAGCGUUAUCCGGAUUUGUUGGGUUUAAAGGGUGCGUAGGCGGUCGGAUAAGUUAGAGGUGAAAUCCCGAGGCUCAACUUCGGAAUUGCCUCUGAUACUGUUCGGCUAGAGAGUAGUUGCGGUAGGCGGAAUGUAUGGGGUAGCGGUGAAAUGCUUAGAGAUCAUACAGAACACCGAUUGCGAAGGCAGCUUACCAAGCUACUUCUGACGUUGAGGCACGAAAGCGUGGGGAGCAAACAGGAUUAGAUACCCGGGUAGUC